rnacentral:rRNA from 2 species
GGGUUGUGAGGUUAAGCGACUAAGCGUACACGGUGGAUGCCCUGGCAGUCAGAGGCGAUGAAGGACGUGCUAAUCUGCGAAAAGCGUCGGUAAGGUGAUAUGAACCGUUAUAGCCGGCGAUGUCCGAAUGGGGAAACCCAGUGC